rnacentral:rRNA from 1 species
GAUGAACGCUGGCGGCGUGCCUAAUACAUGCAAGUCGAGCGAACGGACGAGAAGCUUGCUUCUCUGAUGUUAGCGGCGGACGGGUGAGUAACACGUGGAUAACCUACCUAUAAGACUGGGAUAACUUCGGGAAACCGGAGCUAAUACCGGAUAAUAUUUUGAACCGCAUGGUUCAAAAGUGAAAGACGGUCUUGCUGUCACUUAUAGAUGGAUCCGCGCUGCAUUAGCUAGUUGGUAAGGUAACGGCUUACCAAGGCAACGAUGCAUAGCCGACCUGAGAGGGUGAUCGGCCACACUGGAACUGAGACACGGUCCAGACUCCUACGGGAGGCAGCAGUAGGGAAUCUUCCGCAAUGGGCGAAAGCCUGACGGAGCAACGCCGCGUGAGUGAUGAAGGUCUUCGGAUCGUAAAACUCUGUUAUUAGGGAAGAACAUAUGUGUAAGUAACUGUGCACAUCUUGACGGUACCUAAUCAGAAAGCCACGGCUAACUACGUGCCAGCAGCCGCGGUAAUACGUAGGUGGCAAGCGUUAUCCGGAAUUAUUGGGCGUAAAGCGCGCGUAGGCGGUUUUUUAAGUCUGAUGUGAAAGCCCACGGCUCAACCGUGGAGGGUCAUUGGAAACUGGAAAACUUGAGUGCAGAAGAGGAAAGUGGAAUUCCAUGUGUAGCGGUGAAAUGCGCAGAGAUAUGGAGGAACACCAGUGGCGAAGGCGACUUUCUGGUCUGUAACUGACGCUGAUGUGCGAAAGCGUGGGGAUCAAACAGGAUUAGAUACCCUGGUAGUCCACGCCGUAAACGAUGAGUGCUAAGUGUUAGGGGGUUUCCGCCCCUUAGUGCUGCAGCUAACGCAUUAAGCACUCCGCCUGGGGAGUACGACCGCAAGGUUGAAACUCAAAGGAAUUGACGGGGACCCGCACAAGCGGUGGAGCAUGUGGUUUAAUUCGAAGCAACGCGAAGAACCUUACCAAAUCUUGACAUCCUUUGACAACUCUAGAGAUAGAGCCUUCCCCUUCGGGGGACAAAGUGACAGGUGGUGCAUGGUUGUCGUCAGCUCGUGUCGUGAGAUGUUGGGUUAAGUCCCGCAACGAGCGCAACCCUUAAGCUUGGUUGCCAUCAUUAAGUUGGGCACUCUAAGUUGACUGCCGGUGACAAACCGGAGGAAGGUGGGGAUGACGUCAAAUCAUCAUGCCCCUUAUGAUUUGGGCUACACACGUGCUACAAUGGACAAUACAAAGGGCAGCGAAACCGCGAGGUCAAGCAAAUCCCAUAAAGUUGUUCUCAGUUCGGAUUGUAGUCUGCAACUCGACUACAUGAAGCUGGAAUCGCUAGUAAUCGUAGAUCAGCAUGCUACGGUGAAUACGUUCCCGGGUCU